rnacentral:rRNA from 1 species
GACGAACGCUGGCGGCGUGCUUAACACAUGCAAGUCGAACGGUGAAGCGCCUUCCUUUUUGGUGGGUGUGGAUGAGUGGCGAACGGGUGAGUAACACGUGAGUAACCUGCCCCCUUCUUCUGGAUAACCGCAUGAAAGUGUGGCUAAUACGGGAUAUUCUGGGUCUGUCGCAUGAUGGGUCUGGGAAAGAUAUUGUUUCGGUGGGGGAUGGGCUCGCGGCCUAUCAGCUUGUUGGUGGGGUGAUGGCCUACCAAGGCGGUGACGGGUAGCCGGCCUGAGAGGGUGGACGGUCGCACUGGGACUGGGACACGGCCCAGACUCCUACGGGAGGCAGCGGUGGGGAAUAUUGCACAAUGGGCGCAAGCCUGAUGCAGCGACGCCGCGUGAGGGAUGGAGGCCUUCGGGUUGUGAACCUCUUUCGCCAGUGAAGCAGGACUGCCUCGUUUGUGGGUGGGUUGACGGUAGCUGGAGAAGAAGCGCCGGCUAACUACGUG